UACAGAGGGUGCGAGCGUUGUCCGGAAUCACUGGGCGUAAAGGGCGCGUAGGUGGUGGUUUAAGCGUGCGGUGAAAGCUCGGGGCUCAACCCCGAGUCGGCCGUGCGAACUGGGCUCACUGGAGCAUAGUAGAGGCAGGUGGAAUUCCGGGUGUAGCGGUGGAAUGCGUAGAGAUCCGGAAGAACACCGGUGGCGAAGGCGGUCUGCUGGGCAGUUGC
rnacentral:rRNA from 1 species